AUCAACCCAUAGAAGUUUUCAUGGCAAGAUACUUUUGGUAAUUUGCUUUCCAAAAGGUAGCAAUCAAAUAAAAUCCGAUGUUUCUGAUUGGAUCGAAUCCGGAUUUUCGAUACAGAGCAGAGCACAUGCACAAUUUUCUGCGCUAUACAGUCGCACACAUUUUGGAUUACUAAUUACAUAUAAAAUAUUAUACAUUUUAUACAAAUAUUUCGAUUAUACUAUUUAAAACAAAUUUUCAAACAAUCCGUUUCUUGCAAAGAGGUACAGUCAAAAUUUAUGAUAAUCUUUAUUUCAGAGACAACAUCAUGUGAUCUUUGGUAACUAAUUUCAACCAAAAAAGCAUUACAAACAGUCAAAAACUUCAAGUAACCACCAUGGAAUUCAACAAACUUCUAAUGGGUUAUAAAGAAGAAUUCAAAAGUGGUUGCUCCCUUUCCGAGCAUCUUAUACAUUUUUCAGUAUACAGCUUUUUUUUCACACAACUUUUUUUCGUUUUCUAUCGUAAGACAGAAAAAAGUUUCUAAUUGGCGAACUUGUAAACUCUGAUAAACAAUGUAUAUCCUCUUAUACCGUCUAAUAAAUAGUUCCAAUUUUUUACUUACUACUAUUCUCAAGAAGUUUUUGCAAAAUGAACUGUCGUCGAACUAGGGGUAACACUUUUAAUAUUUAAUAUCCCUUUCGCAAAAGGGAUCGCAAACCCGUUAAGUUCUUAUAAGUACUUAUUUCACAAGCAUGCGUGAUGCUCACUUUCUAUCUUGGAGUUGAAAAAACGAAACAGUAGUCUUAUCAUGUUAGUCAAUAACAUGGAUAUUUCGACAUCUUCAGGUUACAAUGAUUUUCUAUGGGCAGUGGAACUACAUUACUUAGGUUUGGAACUAAUCGGCUUGUGGCCUAAAACCGACAAAUUUGCACGUUUAUGGUCUCAAAUUCGUGUAGGCUUCAUUUUAACUUCGUUACUGUUUGUUAGUGAAAUUCCGUUGAUUUAUGCAAUUAUCCAAACAUGGGGCGAUAUGGUAUUUCUAAUCAGCAAUUUACAAUUGGCAUUGCCCUUCAUAAUGAUUUCAAUGAAAUAUGUUAUUAUGCACUGGAAACGAACAGUUUUCUUUUCGAUCGUAAAUAUGAUGGCGGAAGAUUGGAUAGCAGUAAAGAUUGAAACAGAAAAAGAUGUCAUGAUAAAACAAGCUCGAAUUGCUCGAUCAAUCAUGAUGAUUGGAUAUAUUUUCGUGGUAGUAGUGUUCAUUGGAUUGGCUGUUCCUCCUUAUUUGGGUAUAGAAGUAUCAGAUACAAUGAAUUUAACAGACAGAAAUAAGCCGUUACCACUUCAGACAUAUCAUUUCUACGAUACAGAUAAAAGUCCACAGUUUGAAUUAACAUUUCUCAUUCAUAGCGUAACAAUCUUCUUUGGAGGUAUUAUUUACGUAUGUCUAGAUAAUUCUUUUAUACUAAUAACUUUUCAUAUUCGUGGCCAAUUAAGGAACUUUAGAUGUCGGUUAGUAAGAUUGAUCUGUUGUAAAAGUUUCAACAAGGUUUUGAAUGAUAUUAUAGUGACACAUUUACGACUUAUCAGAUUUGCCAAUAAUAUUGAAAAUAUAUACUCGUUAAUAAUUUUAAUAUCAAUAUUCAAUUUUAGUGUCGUAUUUUGCUUAUGCGGCUUUUUAUUGACUAUUGUAUUUAAUGACAGAGAAAUAAAUGAAGCAGCUCUCGCACAAGUAUACCUUUCAACAACUAUUCUUCUUAGCUUAUUAUUAAAUACUCUUCUUUAUUGUAGCGCAGGACAACUUAUUAUAGAGCAAUGUAAUAAAGUACAUCAUGCUGUUUGCGAUCUUGAAUGGUACAAAUUGGAAGCAAAAAAAGCGAGAAAUAUUAUUUUAUUAAUGAUGCAAACCAGCCACCCAUUCUGCAUGACUGCUGGAAAUAUUAUUCCAUUAACAAUGGCAACCUUUGUUAGCGUAAGAUUAAGUAUUCAAAAUUUACUAAAUUUAAUUUUGCUUUUUUGCUUAGAAUCAAUAGUCUAUUUUGACAAUGCUUGUACAAGUAUAUAAUUUUCUAAAGAAAUCUCACUGAAUCCAAAAUUCACUCGUUAAAUUGAGAUUAUGGUACAUGUAUAUUUAUCAGAGUAUGGAAACUUACUUUUCAAAGUAACUUGCAAUACCGUGACUUGAAAAGUAAUGAUUCGUUACUUCUUCUAUUACUUUUGUAAUGCUUAAAUGAAAUUAGAUUAAAUAAAAAAAAAAUUACUUUUUAAAUAUUCUUUGUUACAAUACUAAUAAGAACAAUAAAUGCUUUUAUUUUAAGUUUGUAAGAAAAUAAGUACCUUAUUUAACACGUUAUUUCCAUAUUUAUGUAUAAAAAAUUUUCACGUUAUUUCGAGUAAGCACUACGAAAAAUUGUUGUAUUUGAAAAUUGUUUUUGCAUUUUAAAAGAUUAAGUUUUUACUUCAAGAGACUUUUGAAUUUAUUUUUUUCUCAACCCAUCUUAUUUUUAAAAAUAAAGCCUUUUUAAGUCUUCAACAGAAAUUGCAUAAUUUGAUGCAGCAUGUGGAGUAACUUUGUUUUCAAACAUUAUGUGCAAAUUAUCAUAAAAUUUGAACUUUUUGUUGCAAAAAAAAGAAAAAGGAAGAUUGUUACGAUCCGUUUUUGCAGAGUUACGCAAUAUUAUGAUGCAAAGUUACCAAUAUAUUUUUGCUUAGUUACCGCCAGAAUUAGCAUUAUCCGAUGCACACCACGGUGAAGUUGUUGCCACGGUUGCCACCUUUCAAUUAGUGUUCUUUUAAAAAUCGAUGGAUCUCUUUUUGUAAUCGCCACAGAUCGAUUACUACUGUCAAAAUUAUCUAAAUUUUUAGGAAAUGGUCAAAUUGAUUCUCAAAUUCCAGAGAUUCGUUUAAAAAGUUUCUGACUGAAAAUCAAAAAGAUGAUUAAACUUUUAAACAAAAAAAAUCAAAAUUUUAAACUUUCAAGCUGGAGAGUCAGAUAUUCAUUACAAAGUUGGAGUUUUCGGCCGAAAACUGGAGCUGGUGGCAGCCGCGGUUGUUGAUUAUAAUUCCCGUGUAAAUACAUGUACAUACAUGAAAGGCUAUGUAUAAGUGUAUGCGUGCAUAUGUACGCGCGCGUUAUAUAGUUGUAACUUUAGCAAGAGUGAUAACGAUUGUGAUAGCAACUAUUCUAACUUUUGACAUUGUGUAAAAAAAUUAAUGAAAUCAGUGAGAUAGUCUUUUAGGUUUUCUGCUAACAUCAUUAUAAAAAUUAUCUUUUAAUUUUCUUGUAACAUAUCUAACGACAUAAUUAUUUUUAGGUAUUAAAGUCGUCAUUUGGAUAUAUAUCGCUUCUAUUGACGAAACAUGGUUGAAGAUUGACAUUUACAUUAGUACUUCUUAUUGUUGCAAAAAAAUCAACGUGUUUAUAGUUAAUGUAGUUACACAGAGAAUUUUUAUAUUCCACAUUUGUUACUAUAGAAAUAAAGUUUUAUAGUAUUUAUUGCCUAUUGCUGAAAAUUACGCACAUAUACUUAUUUUUUAAGACGUCAUAUUAAGACGCAAUAAAGAAUACUGAAAAAUA